rnacentral:rRNA from 1 species
UACGUAGGGGUGACGACGUUAUCGGAAUUACUGGGCGUAAAGCGUGCGCAGGCGGUGAUGUAAGACAGUUGUGAAAUCCCCGGGCUCAACCUGGGAACUGCAUCUGUGACUGCAUCGCUGGAGUACGGUAGAGGGGGAUGGAAUUCCGCGUGUAGCAGUGAAAUGCGUAGAUAUGCGGAGGAACACCGAUGGCGAAGGCAAUCCCCUGGACCUGUACUGACGCUCAUGCACGAAAGCGUGGGGAGCAAACAGG